GGGUUUGCAACAGUACUUAAAGCAGUGAUUUGCUUUAUUAUACUAACGGAUCUCACGAAGGUUUUGUUAAGUUUUGUGUGAUUGAAGUUUUCAAGUUUUGGGUGAGACUACGAUGGAUAAGGAAUAAGGAGAGGCAAGAGCCUAAGAUUGGGGAUACCCAAGGCACCCCAAGGUAAUAUUCAAGGAAGACUCGAACGUGUAAGCUUGGGGAUUCCCCGGAAGGCAUCCCCUCUUUCAUCUACAAUCUAUCGGUAAUUUUACUCGGAGCUAUAUUUUAAUUCGUCACAUGAUAUGUGUUUUACUUGGAGCGUCGUGUGAUUUUUAUUUAUUUUUAUUUUAACAAAUCUCCAUUCUGGUAUGAUAUAGUCAUUGGUUGAUUAAUAGAAUUCUUCAUGCAAUUCACUUAUAUCUUUUGAAUAUGUCUUUAUAGAAGGCUUCAUGUGCUUCACUUAUAUCUUUUGAAGUUUGGAUGCGUGUUUCUCUCCAUAGAAAAAUCCGUUAUUUGUAGAAUACUCUUGUGCUUCACUUAUAUUUGUUAGAGUGUGAUGUUUUGUAGAAAUAAUUAAACUCCAUGCUGGUAUGAUAUAGUCCUUGGUUGAUUUAUAGAAUGCUUCAUGCAAUUCACUUAUAUCUUUUGAAUAUGUCUUUAUAGAAGGCUUCAUGUGCUUCACUUAUAUCUUUUGAAGUUUGGAUGCAUGUUUCUCUCCAUAGAAAAAUCCGUUAUUUGUAGAAUGCUCUUGUGCUUCACUUAUAUUUGUUAGAGUGUGAUCUUUUGUAGAAAGAAUUAAACUCUUUUGCUUCAC
rnacentral:lncRNA from 1 species